rnacentral:rRNA from 1 species
CCUACGGGAGACAGCAGUGAGGAAUAUUGGUCAAUGGGCGGAAGCCUGAACCAGCCAAGUAGCGUGCAGGAUGACGGUCCUACGGGUUGUAAACUGCUUUUAUACGGGAAUAACGCGCCUUACGUGUAGGGCUUUGCAUGUACCGGGUGAAUAAGCACCGGCUAAUUCCGUGCCAGCAGCCGCGGUAAUACGGAAGGUCCGGGCGUUAUCCGGAUUUAUUGGGUUUAAAGGGAGCGUCGGCCGCAUGUCAAGCGUGCUGUGAAAUGUCCGGGCUCAACCCGGGCCUGGCCGUGCGAACUGGCUUGCUAGAGUGGGCGGGAAGUAUGCGGAAUGCGUGGUGUAGCGGUGAAAUGCAUAGAUAUGACGCAGAACCCCGAUUGCGAAGGCAGCAUGCUGGAGCCGAACUGACGCUCAGGCACGAAAGCGUGGGUAUCGAACAGGAUUAGAUACCCUAGUAGUC